CCGCUCGAUGAUGAUGAGCUCGUCGCCUACAUCCUCACUGGUCUGGAUGACCCGGACUAUGAUCCCGUGGCAUCUAAUCUGGUGAUGCCGAGAUCAGAGGCUAUCAUCGUCGCCGAGGCCUAUGCUCAGCUUCUUAGCUUUGAGC
rnacentral:snoRNA from 1 species